GAGAGGAGAGAGAGAGAGAGAGGGAGCUGGAUGCUGUGUUUUUCUUCCCACAAUUGGCAUUAUUCCUGCGUUUUUUUGCCCACGAAUUAGAUCAGAACGAGAGAGAAACGAUGCCGACUGACGACGAGUUAUCUAAAUUACUCAUGGUGUGACAUGCAUGAGUCUCUUAUUUUCCAUUGUACAUGAUAUAAGCCUAAAGAAAAUAUUGAUUAUGAAGGAACUGCACCCUCCUUAGACUAAAAGCCCGUUACUCCGUCCUCUCCUGCGGAUCCAAAAACACCGCCUUGGAGCUUCACCCUUAGACUCUUACCGAAUGGCUGUAUUUCCCGACUGGGGGCUCGUCUCCUGGAACUUCACCUGAUCACUGCUGGCGGAGGAGGCCUUACUGCGAGAAGCGAAGAGAGGAGCACAAAGGGCUGAAACUUGUGGGCCAUCGGGAUGGUUGAAAAAUAGACUUCCUUCAACGAAUAAAACCUUCCUUCAUAACACAAUUUUAGGAGCGUUGGCAUCGAACAAAGCUAAGGAGAGGAAGGAAAAAAGUCAGAGUGAGCGAGGAAAGAGAAAGAGAGAACAAGAAGAAAAGGAGAGGAACACAUAUAAAAGACUUUAUAUACAUGCAAGCACCAAGACAAAAGCUUCACUUGCAAACACAAGCAGAAAAGCUGCACAGCAUGAAGAAGGCAGUAGAGAGGCCAGAGAUAAAAAUAAAAAUGAAAAGUUGAUGGUGUGGAGCGAAAAUGGUUUGGAAAUUUCAUCGAGCAACAGAAGCACCGAAAAGAAGAAAUCAAAAGACAGUAAGAGCGCUAUAAAGAAGGACAGAUCAAAAAUUUUAUCGAGAAAUAUUAAUUUUGUCUCAAGUACUUUGGAGGAUGAGACUGAAACAUAGUGAAUAUGAAACCUUGUGAAAACCCAUCCCCUAUAUACAAAAUAUUUUUAAUAUAUGAAUAAAUUUUCUACCAUUAUCCAUUAGUGAAUAGAAGUGUUUUUUCGAAGUGUAACAGGGAAUAAAAUCACGUAAACCGAUUGAAACAUAUUUUUGAAGUGAGUGCACAUACAAUAUAUUUCUCUUGGAUAUUAUGUUCCACACGAGAACCAAUUUUUCGGGGAGUUUUAUGUGUGCAAACAACCAAGAUUAAAGUGGUACGUGAGGAAAAACUGGCUCAGAAAUAACCCUAGUCUUCAAACCUUCACGAUCUGGAGUCACGUAAAGCUGCAGUGUCCAGUAAGCUCAAGUGUUCUGCCAUUAGCAUCUUGAAAAUCUUGAGCAGCACAAAAACUGCAGUGAGCCAAACAAAUGUGUUCCAAACUGUCAGGAGAGGAUUUAUUUAUUCAGUAAAGGCUGAAUAAGGUGUGCACAAAAGCCCAUUUUACGCUUGUCCAAGGUGAUCUUCCCAAGGCACACAGUAGCAAAGGUAGUCCAGUUACUUAAGCUACAAGUGCUUAUUUCCUUUGAUUGUGCAGAUGCUACUCAGGGUAUAUACAAUGCAAGAGUACCCAGGCUAAUGAUAACAUAUGUCAGGAGCCAGUGAAGUUACCAACAGGCAGUGCUUUGACCUUGGAGAUCAGGGAUUGCUUUUGUGAAAUGCAUGGCCUGCAUGGAUGUUGCACAUGGGACUCUAGAGCAGCAAAGAGAUCACUAUCACCACUGAUGUCCUUCACAGCAUGGCAUUCAGCAGAAUGUUUCCCCUGCUAGAGGGAAUUGAUGGCCAACACUCAGAUGGAAAGGCAGUAAUAUCUCAAAUUUAACAGACUAGCUAUGUAUGGCAUGAUGUACAUGCCAUGUCCACUGUAAUUUUAGUUUAUUUAUGUGUUCAUGUGUAAUAAACCUACUUCAAUCAGUGACCAAGAUCUCAAAGGAACACUUGGAACAGCGUGAAGGUUCUUGCCAUUUGAUGACAGCUGCUGGAACAUCAGCAACAGAAUUGCUGCUUUGCAUGUGGUCACGAGAGACAUUUAAGGUUAUUGUUUAUGGUGGCUCAGUACUUGUGGAGCCAUCUGUGAGCAACAAAAUUCACCAAAACUACAGUGGACAGUACAUGUACCUGUGAUUGAUGGGUUAGGUAGAGAACCCAUAUAAGGGAAGAGAGGAAUGCUGAGAGAGGUAUUGGUAGCAAAUUUUUCUAGAUUCACGUCCAGAUAUAGUAUGUUAUUCCUGUGGCACUGUACUGUGCUGCUACAUUGUUUUGAAUUCUUUACUGAGUAUUAUUUUAUACUGAGUUUGAAUACUGAAAAUUUUUAUAAAAGGAUUGUUAUCUAAUACUUAAUUCUUUUAUAUAUUUAUAUAAUACUCUAUUUUAAAGUUUUAUUACUAUUUCAACUUAAUAAAUUGAUAUGAAGAAACAAAAACUUAUGACAAUUGACUGCUUGUAUUCAACUGCAUAUUUGGUCUUAGAACUGGAUUAUAAUAAAAUGACAAAAAUAUAAAUUAUUGAAUGUAUGUGUUCCUUUCCUGCAUUCCUUUAGUAUGAACAGAAUCUUGUGGUUUGUUGAUUGCAUUUCAGCUGUAUAUAUAUUUAAAGCCC
rnacentral:misc_RNA from 1 species